GGGAACCAACCGGAAUUAAUUCCCUGGUUAUCCCCCCCCUUAACCAAUAAUGGCUAGUGGUAAGGGUUUCUCCACCCCUGAUGGCUAAAUUUACCCCUUUAACCUUCCCCCCGGGGAAUUCCGGCCCCAGAAUGGAACUCCAAAGAAUUUGCCGGGACCCCCCCCAACCGUGGAAUCUGGUGUUUUAUUCCAAACCACCCCAAAAACCCU
rnacentral:rRNA from 1 species